AUUGAACGCUGGCGGCGUGCUUAACACAUGCAAGUCGAUCGGUAACGCGGGGGCAACCCUGGCGACGAGAGGCGGACGGGUGAGGAACGCUUGGGAAUCUGCCUAUCAGCGGGGGACAACACGGGGAAACUCGUGCUAAUACCGCAUACGCUCUACGGAGGAAAGCCGGGGACCGCAAGGCCUGGCACUGAUAGAUGAGCCCAAGUCGGAUUAGCUAGUUGGCGGGGUAACGGCCCACCAAGGCGACGAUCCGUAGCUGGUCUGAGAGGACGAUCAGCCACACUGGGACUGAGACACGGCCCAGACUCCUACGGGAGGCAGCAGUGGGGAAUAUUGGACAAUGGGGGAAACCCUGAUCCAGCGACGCCGCGUGGGUGAAGAAGGCCUGCGGGUUGUAAAACACUUUAAGUUGGGAGGAAGGGGUUGAAGCUAAUACCUUCAAUCUUUGACGUUACCAACAGAAUAAGCACCGGCUAACUCUGUGCCAGCAGCCGCGGUAAAAC
rnacentral:rRNA from 1 species